UACGUAGGGGGCAAGCGUUAUCCGGAUUUACUGGGUGUAAUGGGAGCGUAGACGGUGAUGCAAGUCAGAAGUGAAAGCCCGGGGCUCAACUCCGGGACUGCUUUUGAAACUGUGUAACUGGAGUGCAGGAGAGGUAAGCGGAAUUCCUGGUGUAGCGGUGAAAUGCGUAGAUAUCAGGAGGAACACCAGUGGCGAAGGCGGCUUACUGGACUGUAACUGACGUUGAGGCUCGAAAGCGUGGGGAGCAAACAGG
rnacentral:rRNA from 1 species